GGAAUAUCCAAUUCAGAUAAUACCAAAAUGUUAAGCAGCAAUGCCUUUAUAUACAAAAAACAGUGGAACAGCCUCCCCUCCACCCAAAAGAAAGUGAAUAUUUAUGUACUUAUGGUGUCCUUACAUUUUUCUGGUGUUGAAUGGCCCAAAAUUAUCCAAUGAAUGAGAAGUGGUAUAUUCUAACUAUACAUUUUGGAACUCGGAAGGAUAUUUGACUAUGAUGAAAACUGCACCACCCCAUCCAUAUUCUGGCACAGAGGAGGAAGAUGCACACUGAGAUCAUCCAAACUGGGGCAGUCCUUGAUGCCUGGUAUUUGGGAAGAGUAAUCUGCCAUAAAUGUUGUCCAUUGAUCUAACA
rnacentral:misc_RNA from 1 species